GAAAACUCUUUCUCCACUGUGCAUACUGCCCCGGCCGAGGUCUUAUGAACUCAGUCUUAUAAAUCACAUAGGAUCUCUCCUUAUCUAUCAAGAUCGAUAGAUUCCUUAUAGGUGCAUACCCUACUCCUACAGUGAACUUACUGCAGCCAAUCUACAUUGCAUGGACCCAUAUGGCUAGAGACCAUGUAUGUGUGCAGUCAAACUACAAUAACCUCACUGUGAGUAGCCGAAGCACCGCAGGUCAAAGGACCAGUCACACUACUGCAACAUCAAGCAAGUCACUGACGAGUGGAUAGACAUCCAAGUGACUUCUUGUUUUGGUCACGCUCAGUACCCUUGUUCUCCAACAAGCACCUGCACUAUCACUUCAGUGUCCGUACACUGUGGACUC
rnacentral:lncRNA from 1 species